UAGAGUUUGAUCCUGGCUCAGAUUGAACGCUGGCGGCAGGCUAACACAUGCAAGUCGAGCGGAUGAGGGGAGCUUGCUCCCUGAUUUAGCGGCGGACGGGUGAGUAAUGCCUAGGAAUCUGCCUGGUAGUGGGGGAUAACGUUCCGAAAGGAACGCUAAUACCGCAUACGUCCUACGGGAGAAAGCAGGGGACCUUCGGGCCUUGCGCUAUCAGAUGAGCCUAGGUCGGAUUAGCUAGUUGGUGAGGUAAUGGCUCACCAAGGCGACGAUCCGUAACUGGUCUGAGAGGAUGAUCAGUCACACUGGAACUGAGACACGGUCCAGACUCCUACGGGAGGCAGCAGUGGGGAAUUUUGGACAAUGGGCGAAAGCCUGAUCCAGCCAUGCCGCGUGCAGGAUGAAGGCCUUCGGGUUGUAAACUGCUUUUGUACGGAACGAAACGGCCUUUUCUAAUAAAGAGGGCUAAUGACGGUACCGUAAGAAUAAGCACCGGCUAACUACGUGCCAGCAGCCGCGGUAAUACGUAGGGUGCAAGCGUUAAUCGGAAUUACUGGGCGUAAAGCGUGCGCAGGCGGUUAUGUAAGACAGUUGUGAAAUCCCCGGGCUCAACCUGGGAACUGCAUCUGUGACUGCAUAGCUAGAGUACGGUAGAGGGGGAUGGAAUUCCGCGUGUAGCAGUGAAAUGCGUAGAUAUGCGGAGGAACACCCGAUGGCGAAGGCAAUCCCCUGGACCUGUACUGACGCUCAUGCACGAAAGCGUGGGGAGCAAACAGGAUUAGAUACCCUGGUAGUCCACGCCCUAAACGAUGUCAACUGGUUGUUGGGUCUUCACUGACUCAGUAACGAAGCUAACGCGUGAAGUUGACCGCCUGGGGAGUACGGCCGCAAGGUUGAAACUCAAAGGAA
rnacentral:rRNA from 1 species